UGCAGCAGUUAAGUGAACAAAUGAAGUGUCCACAGUCAUUGGAUGGUUGCUUGGUAGAGGUACAUGCUAAUAACUAAUAAGAUUUCCUGUGCAGGGUAUCAUUGUUUUUGCAUGACUGAUGGCUACCUUGGGGCUGGAGAUUUUGGUUGAAUCUGCCUCAAGUGUUAUUUUGAAGAUGAUAUUAUCAUUUGACCUUGCUUUUGCUUUGAUUCCGCUCCUAAAGUUCAGUAGCAGCAAAGUGACUAGCAGCACAAGCAUUGAAGAGAGAUUGCAGGGAUUCCAAGGGAAGGGGACCAGGGGAUGAAAAAUAUGAUUAAAGAGAGUUCUUGAGGAGUUUGUCACAUGCUCAGGGAAGUGGAAGAUUUUGCACGAAGGUUAAAUUCUGCUUGGCCUGAAAGGAUGCAAAUUUGAUCUUUGGCCCAACACAGAAGACUAGUAACAAUUUCUAUGAAUAGCAAUGGUUCAA